rnacentral:tRNA from 1 species
GCUUUCGUGGUAGAACGCUACCACACUCGGCUCGUAUUCGAAAGGUUCAGGUUCGAGUCCCGGUGAAGGCA